rnacentral:rRNA from 1 species
AUUGAACGCUGGCGGCAGGCCUAACACAUGCAAGUCGAACGAGUGGCGGACGGGUGAGUAAUGUCUGGGAAACUGCCCGAUGGAGGGGGAUAACUACUGGAAACGGUAGCUAAUACCGCAUACCAUCGGAUGUGCCCAGAUGGGAUUAGCUAGUAGGUGGGGUAACGGCUCACCUAGGCGACGAUCCCUAGCUGGUCUGAGAGGAUGACCAGCCACACUGGGACUGAGACACGGUCCAGACUCCUACGGGAGGCAGCAGUGGGGAAUAUUGCGCAAUGGGCGCAAGCCUUAUGCAGCCAUGCCGCGUGUGUGAAGAAGGCCUUCGGGUUGUAAAAUUCUUUCGGCGGGGAGGCGUUACCCGCAGAAGAAGCACCGGCUAACUCCGUGCCAGCAGCCGCGGUAAUAC